UACGGGAUAAUAUAUUUGAGAGGCAUCUCUUAAAUAUCAAAGGUGAGCCAGUACAGGAUGGACCCGCGUCUGAUUAGCUAGUUGGUAAGGUAACGGCUUACCAAGGCGACGAUCAGUAGCCGACCUGGGAGGGUGAUCGGCCACAUUGGAACUGAGACACGGUCCAAACUCCUACGGGAGGCAGCAGUGGGGAAUAUUGCACAAUGGGCGAAAGCCUGAUGCAGCAACGCCGCGUGAGUGAUGAAGGCCUUCGGG
rnacentral:rRNA from 1 species